UACAGAGGUCUCAAGCGUUGUUCGGAUUCAUUGGGCGUAAAGGGCGCGUAGGCGGCGGGGUAAGUCGGGUGUGAAAUCUCAGAGCUCAACUCUGAAACUGCACCCGAUACUGCUCUGCUUGAGGACUGGAGAGGAGACUGGAAUUCACGGUGUAGCAGUGAAAUGCGUAGAUAUCGUGAGGAAGACCAGUGGCGAAGGCGGGUCUCUGGACAGUUCCUGACGCUGAGGCGCGAAGGCCAGGGGAGCAAACGGG
rnacentral:rRNA from 1 species